rnacentral:rRNA from 1 species
UAAUACGAAGGGUGCGAGCGUUAAUCGGAAUUACUGGGCGUAAAGCGUGCGUAGGUGGCUUGUUAAGUCGGAUGUGAAAGCCCCGGGCUCAACCUGGGAACUGCAUCCGAUACUGGCGAGCUUGGAGUUUGGAAGAGGGUGGUGGAAUUCCCGGUGUAGCGGUGAAAUGCGUAGAGAUCGGGAGGAACAUCAGUGGCGAAGGCGGCCACCUGGUCCAAAACUGACGCUGAUGCACGAAAGCGUGGGGAGCAAACAGGAUUAGAUACCCUGGUAGUCCACGCCCUAAACGAUGCUGACUGGACGUUGGGUGGAAUUAGCCACUUAGUGUCGAAGCUAACGCGUGAAGUCAGCCGCCUGGGGAGUACGGUCGCAAGACUG